GAUCAUCUGAUGAGAAAAAAACUGCAACAAUAUGAUUGGAUUCAUUCCAUGAUUCCUAGUAUUUAAGUCUCUGAUGAUU
rfam:Cajanus cajan Scaffold000051_18, whole genome shotgun sequence.